rnacentral:rRNA from 1 species
GGACCCGCACAAGCGGUGGAGUAUGUGGUUUAAUUCGAUGCAACACGAAGAACCUUACCAGGGUUUGAAAUCAUUUCAAAACUCCUUGAAAGAGGAGCCUCCUUCGGGAUGAAAUGACAGGUGGUGCAUGGCUGUCGUCAGCUCGUGUUGUGAAAUGUCGAGUUAAGUCUCGUAACGAGCGCAACCCAUGUCUCUUGUUGCUCACUGAGUGCUUAAGAGAGACUGCCGACCAACAUCGGAGGAAGGUGUGGAUGAUGUCAAGUCAGCAUGCCCCUUACAUCCUGGGCUACACACGUACUACAAUGGUAGGGACAAUGAGCUGCGAUCCUGCGAAGGCUAGCCAAUCUCAAAAACCCUAUCUCAGUUCAGAUCGUAGGCUGCAACUCGCCUACGUGAAGGAGGAAUCGCUAGUAA